GGUCUUAUAUUCAACAUUGAUUUUAAAUUGCAAAUUUAAAGGUGGGUUAGCCCUAAGGCUU
rnacentral:tRNA from 1 species